GCGGAUAUAGUAGAAUGGUAAAAUUUCUCUUUGCCAAGGAGAAGGUGCGGGUUCGAUUCCCGCUAUCCGC
rnacentral:tRNA from 1 species